GACAGAGGCCUCGAGCGUUAGGCGGAAUCACUGGGCUUAAAGCGUGUGUAGGCGGGCCCGUAAGUGUCUUGUGAAAUCCCACGGCUCAACCGUGGAACUGCUGGGCAUACUGCGGGUCUUGGGCCAACUAGGGGCAGCCGGAACAAGCGGUGGAGCGGUGAAAUGCGUAGAUAUCAGGAAGAACACCAAUGGCGAAAGCAGCUCUCUGGGACGGUACUGACGCUGAGACGCGAAAGCGUGGGGAGCGAACAGG
rnacentral:rRNA from 1 species